rnacentral:rRNA from 1 species
CAGAUCCCCUUCGGGGGUGACGCUUGUGGAUCGAGCGGCGGACGGGUGAGUAACACGUGGGCAACCUGCCUGAGAGACUGGGAUAACCCCGGGAAACCGGGGCUAAUACCGGAUAAUACUUUUCUUUGCAUGAAGGGAAGUUGAAAGGCGGCCUUUGGCUGCCGCUCACAGAUGGGCCCGCGGCGCAUUAGCUAGUUGGUGAGGUAAAAGCUUACCAAGGCGACGAUGCGUAGCCGACCUGAGAGGGUGAUCGGCCACACUGGGACUGAGACACGGCCCAGACUCCUACGGGAGGCAGCAGUAGGGAAUCAUCCGCAAUGGACGAAAGUCUGACGGUGCAACGCCGCGUGAGUGAUGAAGGUUUUCGGAUCGUAAAGCUCUGUUGUGAGGGAAGAACAAGUGCCGUUUGAAUAAGGCGGCACCUUGACGGUACCUCACCAGAAAGCCCCGGCUAACUACGUGCCAGCAGCCGCGGUAAUACGUAGGGGGCAAGCGUUGUCCGGAAUUAUUGGGCGUAAAGCGCGCGCAGGCGGUCUUUUAAGUCUGAUGUGAAAGCCCACGGCUUAACCGUGGAGGGUCAUUGGAAACUGGAGGACUUGAGUGCAGAAGAGGAGAGUGGAAUUCCACGUGUAGCGGUGAAAUGCGUAGAGAUGUGGAGGAACACCAGUGGCGAAGGCGACUCUCUGGUCUGUAACUGACGCUGAGGUGCGAAAGCGUGGGGAGCGAACAGGAUUAGAUACCCUGGUAGUCCACGCCGUAA